rnacentral:lncRNA from 1 species
UAUGUUGGCCAGGCUGGUCUUGAACUCCUGACCUCAAGUGAUCCACCCACCUUGGCCUCCCAAAGUGUUGAAUAUUUCUUUUACAUUAGCCUCUAUUUCCUCUGGAGGCAUUUACCCAAGUGCAACAGGAGGUAUUGGUGCCACACACAGCCCUCCCGUUCUGCUAGUAAAUAGUCUAAGGCCAAUCGCUUUUCUGACACUACAUUGGCUAGUGAAUUUAGAGAAAUACAUAUAUUUUAGAGAGCCUCUCCAGUUUUAGCUGCCAGAGCCUUGGGUAUUCAGAUUAAAUUUCUUAGGGUGACUUCAUAACAGGCAACCCCCCCGCAAGAAAGGGCAGCCAACCCCACAGCAAGUCCGGCAGCUUCCAUGGUUUGUCCAAUAGCCCCCGUCCUUUUUUUUUUUUUUUUUUGGUCUCUUAUGAUGGCUGGUUGCACUAUGGGCUGUUACCCUGAUAGGCCCCAGAAGCCCACAGUACACUGUCCUAGGCAUAUUACAUUGCCGAAACAAGGGUGAGCCACUGCAAAUACUCUUUUGUAGCAUGUUUGCCUCUUUUCUCCUUUUCCUGAGCAAUUUAAAUAAACUUGGCCUAUUCUCUUAGUGACAUUGCCCUUAGCAGGUGAGGUCCACACAACCCUGUGAUGUUAAUGACUCCUCUCAAAGGAUUAGCAACAGGUCACCCCAUCCAAGUGUGGGGAAGCCUAUGGCACAUCCAACAUUUGAACAGAUUGUUCCCACCAGCUGUGAUACAGGAGACCUUGAUUAUUAUAUUGGCCUCCCAGAGAUCACUGGCCAAGGCAACUAAAAGGGCCAAAAAGCAGGCUGGGUGCGAUGGCUCACGCCUGUAAUCCUAGCACUUUGGGAGG